rnacentral:tRNA from 1 species
GCCCGGGUGGCGGAAUUGGUAGACGCAGCGGACUUAAAAUCCGCCGGUCAUUGCGACCGUGCCGGUUCAACUCCGGCCCUGGGCACCA